rnacentral:rRNA from 1 species
CCCCGGNCUCAACCUGGGAACUGCGUUNUGAACUGGGUGACUAGAGUGUGUCAGAGGGAGGUAGAAUUCCACGUGUAGCAGUGAAAUGCGUAGAGAUGUGGAGGAAUACCGAUGGCGAAGGCAGCCUCCUGGGAUAACACUGACGUUCAUGCUCGAAAGCGUGGGUAGCAAACAGGAUUAGAUACCCUGGUAGUCCACGCCCUAAACGAUGUCAAUUAGCUGUUGGGCAACUUGAUUGCUUAGUAGCGUAGCUAACGCGUGAAAUUGACCGCCUGGGGAGUACGGUCGCAAGAUUAAAACUCAAAGGAAUUGACGGGGACCCGCACAAGCGGUGGAUGAUGUGGAUUAAUUCGAUGCAACGCGAAGAACCUUACCUGGUCUUGACAUGUACGGAAUCCUCCAGAGACGGAGGAGUGCCUUCGGGAGCCGUAACACAGGUGCUGCAUGGCUGUCGUCAGCUCGUGUCGUGAGAUGUUGGGUUAAGUCCCGCAACGAGCGCAACCCUUGUCAUUAGUUGCCAUCAUUUAGUUGGGCACUCUAAUGAGACUGCCGGUGACAAGCCGGAGGAAGGUGGGGAUGACGUCAAGUCCUCAUGGCCCUUAUGACCAGGGCUUCACACGUCAUACAAUGGUCGGUACAGAGGGUAGCCAAGCCGCGAGGUGGAGCCAAUCUCACAAAACCGAUCGUAGUCCGGAUUGCACUCUGCAACUCGAGUGCAUGAAGUCGGAAUCGCUAGUAAUCGCAGGUCAGCAUACUGCGGUGAAUACGUUCCCGGGUCUUGUACACACCGCCCGUCACACCACGAGAGUUUGUAACACCCGAAGUCGGUGAGG